GCCUGGCUAGCUUAAUUGGUAGAGCGUGAGACUAUUAAUCUCCAGGUUAUAAGUUCGAGCCUCAUGAUCAGCA
rnacentral:tRNA from 1 species